UACUAUAUUGUCUGCCCAAUGAUUAUUUUAAAUGGCCGCACAUGUGCUAAGGUAGCAUAAUAAUUAGUUUUUUAAUUGAAAAAUGGAAUGAAAGAUACCACCAAGGAUAAGUAUGGUUCUUUUGCAGACGAAUUUUUAUUUUUAGUGAAAAUACUAAACAAUUUUAUUUAGACAAAAAGACCCUAUGAAGCUGCUAAAUUAUAAAAUAAUUAGAACAUACAGAUAAAUUUGUUUUUUGGGGUAAAAUAUAAAAAUUGUAUUUUUAUGCACAUAUUAGAAAACCUUAGCCUAUAGGAAUAUUGACAAAGCUCCUCUAGGGAUAACAGCAUUAUGCCCGUAAGAGUUCUUAUCAGAACGGGCGUUUG
rnacentral:rRNA from 1 species